AGUCAUGUCCAGGCUGACAGGAGCCCUCGGCCUCCUGAGGACCUGCUGUGAGGCUUCCAGAGGAUGUGAGGCAUAGUCCACAGUGACAGGAGACCCGUGUCCUCAGGACCCACUGACUAUGACCCAAGAACACGUGGGGCCACAUCCACACUCACAGGAUCCUGGCUUCCUCAGGACCCCCUGGAGGACUCUGGAGGUGCCGUUGGGGGCCACAUCCACAUCAGAAGGGACUACUCAGAACCACAGGGGUGUUGUGCCCAAGAUUGCAAGUGCCCAACACUUGGGGGUGUUGUGCCCAAGAUUGUCCAAGCAGACACCGAUGCAAACACAUGAGGGUUGAUUUACAAACUCAAGGUUGGGUCCAAGUAUACCCCACACAGCGGAGCAGGGACUUGGACCCCGAGGUGGGUUUUAGCUUAGUUUUAAGGGCUCGUCUCAGGGUCCUCCAGAAGGGCUGGAGCAAUUCCUCAAGUUCUGUUUACAUUUUGAUAUGAGGCCUUCAAGGGCAUUGAGCUUUGUUCUCAUUCUAAUAUGGGGCUUUCUGG
rnacentral:lncRNA from 12 species